CCUACGGGAGGCAGCAGUGGGGAAUAUUGCACAAUGGGGGAAACCCUGAUGCAGCGACGCCGCGUGAGUGAUGAAGUAUUUCGGUAUUUAAAGCUCUCUCAGCAGGGAAGAAAAUGACGGUACCUGAUUAAUAAGCCCCGGCUAACUCCGUGCCAGCAGCCGCGUUAAUACGUAGGGUGCAAGCGUUAUCCGGAUUUACUGGGUGUAACGGGAGCGUAGACGGGAGCACAAGUCAGGAGUGAAAUGCCGGGGCUUAACCCCGGAACUGCUUUGGAAACUGUGCAGCUAGAGUGCAGGAGAGGUAGGUGGAAGUCCUAGUGUAGCGGUGAAAUGCGUAGAGAUCAGGAGGAAAACCAGUGGCGAAGGCGGCUUACUGGACUGUAACUGACGUUGAGGCUCGAAAGCGUGGGGAGCAAACAGGAUUAGAUACCCCUGUAGUC
rnacentral:rRNA from 1 species